UACGGGGGGGAGCAAGCGUUGUUCGGAUUUACUGGGCGUAAAGAGCGCGCAGGCGGUCGAUCAAGUCGCGUGUGAAAGCCCCCGGCUCAACUGGGGAGGGUCACGCGAUACUGAUCGACUCGAAGGCAGGAGAGGGUAGUGGAAUUCCCGGUGUAGUGGUGAAAUGCGUAGAUAUCGGGAGGAACACCAGUGGCGAAGGCGACUACCUGGCCUGUUUCUUGACGCUGAGGCGCGAAAGCUAGGGGAGCAAACGGGG
rnacentral:rRNA from 1 species